rnacentral:tRNA from 1 species
GGCGUUUGACCUGCGUAGAUGCACAGCAAUGACCACUUGCGGACCCUGCGUCCUUCCUUGACACGGAAGAGGUCACAGGUUCAAGUCCUGUAUCGUCCA